GGUCACCAGUUCGAUUCCGGUAGUCGGCACCA
rnacentral:tRNA from 1 species